AAGUUUUUAAAGUUUCAGUUUAAGGGUGUGAUUGGAGGUAUCAGAAGAAUCGUUGGAGAGCUUGAGUUCUUAUAAAUCUAAACAAAAGAAUUGCUUGCAAUGUAGCUUGGAACUUGUGUUUUCCUAUUCUUUCGUUUCAAUAACCCUAUCCCUAAGCCUCAUUACAUCCAAUAAAAGUCCUCUUGAUUUAAGUUUUGCAAUUAUGACUGUGGAGAAGUGAUCUUUUAUGCAAGCUUAUGGUAGAAAUUUCACAUUUGAUUCUUUGAGCGAAACACAUUUAAAACUAAACACAUGUGUGAUUGAGUGUAUAUCCCGUGAGAAUGGUCGCUAGUUUGCAUAUGAUGAUUUUAAAAAAUAAAAACUUGAAAUUGCAUUAGCAUGGCUAUCUCACACACUACACUUCAAGGAUGAUUCAAAGAUUACUGCUAAUAUUUGAAUAAGGAAGAUGAACUUGGAUUAGUUCCUUGAUGCUAGCUAUGGUUCUUGAUGAUUUGUUUUCUUAAAAGAAUUUCUAUGAGGGUCACAUAGGGGGAAGCUAAUGUUUUUCAUGUUAUUACUUUUUCAUGUUUUCUUUGUUUUGCUCGAGGACUAGCAAAAGUUAAGUGUGGGGGUAUUUGAUCGGAUCAUAUUUAUAUAUAUUUUUACUUCGAAUUCACUCG
rnacentral:lncRNA from 1 species